GAUGGAUAGGCAUGCAAGUCGAAUGGGUUUAGACCCAUGGCAGACGAGGUAGUAACACGUAGGAACGUACCCGGAAGUCGGGCAUAACCGGUCGAAAGAUCGGAUAAUUCCCGAUACGUCGCAAGAUGAAAGAUUUAUCGCUUCCGGAGCGGCCUGCGUAAUAUCAGCUAGUUGGUGAGGUAAUGGCUCACCAAGGCUAUGACGUUUAGGGGACCUGAGAGGGUGACCCCCACCGAUGAAACUGAGACACGGUUCAUACCCCUACGGGGGGCUGCAGCCGAGAAUAUUCGACAAUGGGCGAAAGCCUGAUCGAGCGAUACCGCGUGGUGGAUGAAGCGAUUCGUCGCGUAAACAUCUUUUAUGAGGGAGGAAGUUAUUGACGUUACCUCAUGAAUAAGGGGCUCCUAACUCUGUGCCAGCAGGAGCGGUAAUACAGAGGCCCCAAGCAUUACCCGGAAUUACUGGGCGUAAAGGGUGCGUAGGUGGUCGUAUUAGUCGUCUGUUAAAAACCGGGGCUCAACCCCGGAAGUGCGGGCGAAACGGUACGACUCGAGAGCGUGAGAGGUGCAUAGAACUCUAGGUGUAGGGGUGAAAUCCGUUGAUAUCUAGGGGAAUACCGAAAGCGAAGGCAGUGCACCGGCGCGUUUCUGACACUGAAGCACGAAAGCGUGGGUAGCGAACGGGAUUAGAUACCCCGGUAGUCCACGCCCUAAACGAUGAUGACUGGCUUUACGGAGUAUCGACCCUCUGUGAGGCGAAGCUAACGCGUUAAGUCAUCCGCCUGGGUAGUACGGCCGCAAGGCUAAAACUCAAAGGAAUAGACGGGGGCUUGCACAAGCGGCGGAGCGUGUGGCUUAAUUCGUCGCUAAGCGAAGGACCUUACCAGGGCUAGAAAUCCUACUGCACGCCUAUCGAAAGAUGGGAAGCCUUCGAGGGUGUAGGACAGGUGAUGCAUGGCUGUCGUCAGUUCGUGGUUUGAAUCGUUCCCUUCAGUGGGGUA
rnacentral:rRNA from 1 species